UAUACAUUUCACUUGGCAGUCACUUAAAUUUCAAGUGAAUUCAUCCACAUUCACUUUAGUCGUCACUUGAAUUAGAAAGUUCAAAAUGGCAAAUCCUAAAGAGCAGCGUUUAAAGCUUAUGCUGGAUUUGGAUUUUCCCAAUUCUUUACUAGGCGAUUUUGGCCUUGUGGGUUGAACUGGACAGAUUUUCUGGUUUGCAGCAGGGAAGAAUCAGAAGUUACACUAUCCCCAGUAACCAAUCUGCCUUGGGAUUACGAUGGAAUUUUCCAAUCAAUAAAUUUAUG